rnacentral:misc_RNA from 1 species
UUUUUUUNUUNUUCACGCCCGGUUCGGUUGACGAUCCCCCUUGGCGCUUGAGGCGCGCCGGAAAUCGCNUCAAACGCCUUUGGCAUUUGCCCGCGGUGUCGGGCUCGUUCCGAGCUUUCCGAAACGUACUCACGGGCCCCGUGAGUCCAUCGGGAUCGAAAGUUAGGCACGUAAACGCGGAGACGCGCGGAUUACGUUUACUGAGAAAUUCUCCAUUUCGUAUUUCGUCGCACGUAAGUAGCGCUACGUCAACCGCGCGACGGGUCCUUGAGAGGGGGAAGUCGAACACUCCGGAAAUUUCUCGAGAGGAGAGAGCGAUUCGCUUCAAGUAAAUAACANGCUAACAUGAC